rnacentral:rRNA from 1 species
GCCUACGGGAGGCUGCAGUGGGGAAUAUUGCACAAUGGGGGGAACCCUGAUGCAGCAACGCCGCGUGGGUGAAGAAGUAUUUCGGUAUGUAAAGCCCUGUCAGCAGGGAAGAAGGAGACGGUACCUGACCAAGAAGCCCCGGCUAACUACGUGCCAGCAGCCGCGGUAAUACGUAGGGGGCAAGCGUUAUCCGGAUUUAGUGGGUGUAAAGGGAGCGUAGACGGCACUGCAAGUCUGGAGUGAAAGCCCGAGGCCCAACCACGGGACUGCUCUGGAAACUGCGGGGCUGGAGUGCAGGAGGGGUAAGCGGAAGUCCUGGUGUAGCGGUGAAAUGCGUAGAUAGUAGGAGGAACACCGGUGGCGAAGGCGGCUUACUGGACUGUAACUGACGUUGAGGCUCGAAGGCGUGGGGAGCAAACAGGAUUAGAUACCCUAGUAGUC